AUACGGAGGAUGCGAGCGUUAUCCGGAUUUAUUGGGUUUAAAGGGAGCGUAGGCGGGAGCUUAAGUCAGCGGUUAAAUGGUGCGGCUCAACCGUGCCCUGCCGUUGAAACUGGGUUUCUUGAGAGUGCAAGAGGCGGAUGGAAUUCAUGGUGUAGCGGUGAAAUGCUUAGAUAUCAUGAAGAACUCCGAUUGCGAAGGCAGUCCGCUGGGGCACGUCUGACGCUGAUGCUCGAAGGUGCGGGAAUCAAACAGGAUUAGAUACCCUGGUAGUCCGCACGGUAAACGAUGAAUACCCGCUGUCGGCGGUAGACAGUCGGCGGCCAAGCGAAAGCGAUAAGUAAUCCACCUGGGGAGUACGACCGCAAGGUUGAAACUCAAAUGAAUUGGCGGGG
rnacentral:rRNA from 1 species